rnacentral:rRNA from 1 species
ACGAGCGCAACCCUUAUCUUUAGUUGCCAGCACNUAAUGGUGGGGACUCUAGAGAGACUGCCGGUGACAAACCNGAGGAAGGUGGGGAUGACGUCAAAUCAUCAUGCCCCUUAUGUUCUGGGCUACACACGUGCUACAAUGGCAGAUACAACGGGAAGCUANCGGGUGACCUGAAGCAAAUCCCAAAAAGUCUGUCCCAUUUCGAAUUGUAUGCUGCANCUCGCCCACAUGAAGUUGGANUUGCUAGUAAUCGCGGAUCANAAUGUCGCGGUGAAUGCNUUCCCGGGUCUUGCACACACCGCCCGU